UGAGUUACCAAGAGAAUGACAGACUUAAC
rnacentral:piRNA from 1 species